UCCAGCUCCUGGGCCGCUUGGUCCGCGGCCUGAAGGGCGGCCGCGAGGACGCCGAGGAGCUCAUCGGCGAGGUGCGGGCCGCGGGGCUCGGCCC
rnacentral:tRNA from 1 species